rnacentral:rRNA from 1 species
CGAGGGGGGGCCCAAAAAUGCAAGUCAAACGCACUGACGUCGACCGAAGCUGCUUGCGUGGACGUUGAUUGACGUGAUUGGCGGACGGGUGAGUAACACGUGGGUAACCUACCCUUAAGUGGGGGAUAACAUUUGGAAACAGAUGCUAAUACCGCAUAACCAUUCAGACCACAUGGUCUGAAUGUAAAAGACGGCCUUUGGCUGUCACUUUUGGACGGACCCGCGGCGUAUUAGUUAGUUGGUAAGGUAACGGCUUACCAAGACAAUGAUACGUAGCCGACCUGAGAGGGUAAUCGGCCACAUUGGGACUGAGACACGGCCCAAACUCCUACGGGAGGCAGCAGUAGGGAAUCUUCCACAAUGGACGAAAGUCUGAUGGAGCAACGCCGCGUGAGUGAAGAAGGUUUUAGGAUCGUAAAACUCUGUUGUUGGAAAAGAACAGGGACUAGAGUAACUGUUAGUCCUUUGACGGUAUCCAACCAGAAAGCCACGGCUAACUACGUGCCAGCAGCCGCGGUAAUACGUAGGGUGGCAAGCGUUGUCCGGAUUUAUUGGGCGUAAAAGCGAGCGCAGGCGGUUUUUUUUAAGUUCUGAUGUGAAAGCCCUUCGGGCUUAACCGAAGAAGUGGCAUUAGAAACUGGGGAAAACUUGAGUGCAGAAAGGAACAGUGGAACUCCAUGGUGUAAGCGGUGAAAAUGCGGUAGAAUAUUAUGGGAUGAACACCAGUGGGCGAAAGGGCGGCUGUCCUGGGUCUGUAACUGACGUCUGAAGGCCUCGAAAAAGUUAUGGGGGAAGCGGAA